rnacentral:rRNA from 1 species
UGGGGUUUCUCAUACUGUACUUGGUACCUGGCGAACGGGGCAGUAACACGUGGGUAACCUACCCCACCCACCUUCGCUCUCUCGAGCUACGGUGGGUCCUCCAAAGCCCGUAAGGGCGACGGAGGAGAGACGGGGACAAUCUGGGAAACCAGGCUAAUCCCCGAUAGUCUGUUUGGGUGAAAUUCCCAAACAGUAAAGGGAAGGGGUAAAACCCCAACCGCUCUGGGAAGGGCCCGCGGCCUAUCAGGUAGUUGGUGGGGUAAUGGCCCACCAAGCCUAUGACGGGUAGGUGGCCUGAGAGGGUGGCCGCCGCCAGGGGCACUGAGACACGGGCCCCACUCCUACGGGAGGCAGCAGCCGAGAAUAUUGGGCAAUGGGGGAAACCCUGACCCAGCGACGCCGCGUGGGGGAAGAAGGCCUUCGGGUUGUAAACCCCUUUUCUGCGGGAGCAACCCCCCAGAUGUAUAUCUGGGGGGUGAGAGUACCGCAGGAAUAAGUGGCUGCCAAUCACGUGCCAGCAGCAGCGGUAAUACGUGAGCCACAAGCGUUAGCCGGAUUUACUGGGCGUAAAGGGUACCGUAGGCGGUCAAGCAAGUCUCAGGUUAAAGACCUCGGGCUCAACCUGAGGAAUGCCUGAGAUACUGUUUGACUAGAGGGCGGUAGAGGCCGGUGGAACUGCCGGUGUAGGGGUGAAAUCCGUUGAUAUCGGCAGGAACGCCGAAAGCGAAGGCAGCCGGCUGGGCCGACCCUGACGCUGAGGGACGAAAGCGUGGGGAGCAAAGGGGAUUAGAUACCCCUGUAGUCCACGCCCUAAACGAUGGGCACUAGCUGCCUGCAGUGUCGACCCUGUGGGUGGCGAAGCUUACGCGUUAAGUGCCCCGCCUGGGAAGUACGCUCGCAAGGGUGAAACUCAAAGGAAUAGACGGGGGCUCGCACAAGCGGUGGUCCAUGUGGCUCAAUCCGACGACAACCGUGGAACCUUACCAGGGCUUGACAUGCCAGUGAAACCUGCGGGAAACCGUGGGGUUCCACAAGGACACUGGCACAGGUGCUACAUGGCCGUCGUCAGCAGGUACCGUGAGGCGCAAGCUUAGAUGCCAAAACCUGCGCAACCCUCGCCGCAUGUUUGCCCCCGCACCACUUUUGGUUUUAAGAUUUAAUAAUGUGGUGGUAUGUAUACCUUCUUCAAAAUGAAAUAACGAAAGAACUUUAUAUUGGAAAAACGAAAGAUUUAAAACGAAGACUGGAAGAACAUAGAAUUGGGAGAUCGAGAUUUACUAAGGAAAAGGGAAAAUGGAGGCUCAUUUAUGUUGAAGCAUAUUCAAGUGAAAAAGAUGCUACCUUAAGAGAAAGAAGAUUAAAAUACCAUGGCAGGGCAAAACAAGAACUUCUGAAAAGAAUUAAAAAUUGCUUAUUAGCUUGAAGCUAAAAGUGGUGCGGGGGAUGUCAUGCGGGACUGCCGGUUUGAGCCGGAGGAAGGUGGGGACGACGCCAGGCCAGCAUGGCCCUU